rnacentral:lncRNA from 1 species
AGGAAGGGCUGAAAACGCAAUUAGCCCUUCCGCUUAAAAAAACACGCGGAUCAUUCAUCCAGAGCGGGUCGGGUCGGGCUGCCAUUAGUGAAACGACGUUGUUUUUGAACUCAUUCUUUGGCCCAAAACGGCGCCGUUUCGAAUAAGCUAUAAAAUUUUUUUAAACUAAAAAAAAAAUCAUUCUUCCCCCCAUCUAAAAAAAACAAAAGCUUUCUCUCAACCCUCUCCCUC